GCCCUGUGGUUACUGGAUGCCAUAGUGCAAGUACAGUUUUCCAGUGGAUGUGAGGAGCCAGAGCAAGCCUGUGAUCUACACAUGGAGGCUGUUUCUCUUCCAUAGUGAGUGCAGCCCUGUCACUGAUAAUAUGG